ensembl:lncRNA novel transcript
AGAAAAUAGUAGUCAUGUUUUGGUCAUUCUGAGAUAGUCAUGGAAAAUUACAACACAGAUGUUCAUACGGGAUCUUCCUUCUAUUGCCCAGUGCCCCGUGAAGCCCUUGAACAAAACCAGAAGAAAGUGAAAAAUAAACAGCCUUAUACGGUUGUCAUCAUCCUAUCCCCAGUGAUGGAGCCAUACUUGGGUCUGAAAUAUUUUGACACAGAUGAAGCAAGUCUUUGCAAUUUCCAAAGGAAAGGCUUCUGUGACACACUCUCUUGUUUGAAGGAGUGACAAUAACCUGAGAAUUGCUGGUAGUAUUAUUUGUUGUUAUUACUGUCAUCAAAAGAUAUUUAAUUAGAAUCUCUUUUAUAUGUGACUGAUAAAGCCAGUGAAAUGGUCACACUGAUUCUACAGUAAGCCAUUUUUGAGCACCUAUUAUACACAAAGCACUGUGCAGGAAGGUUGCAUAGUAAGUUGAGUGUGACCCAGACUCCAACUCUGAGAAGCUUAUAAUAGGGUGAAGGAGACAGAGACAGAAAGGCAGGCUCUUAAUCCAGGGAACUACAGGAGGUAAGCACAAGGGAGACAGAAGCAGAGGCGGGAGACGUGACUUAGCCUUACCUUCCGAAACUCCACACUGGCAUGAGGAAUAGUGAUAUGCACUUGUGGAGGAAUGGUCUAUAGAAUGAGGAUAAAGAGGUUAAAGUUUUGCGAUAUCUUUCAAUUAGUGAUUCUGUAACCAAAACCCAGAGAAGCAGGUUAUGAUGGAGUCAUCAGCAACACAUCCCUUUUUAGCUUAACUUAGGAGUUCUCUUAAAUCAGGGUGCUAAGUGGGAACCAAAAAAACCCCAGCUUUGUCUGUCCGAGCUUGCACUGACUGGGCCACGUCGGGUGGGUUGCUUAUUCAUUUGCCCAACGUAUUUUAUUCCAGUAAUCAUUCAUGGCAGUCACUCAAUGUCUCUGAGCACUAGUUUCUGCAAAACUUUAUGUAUGACAUAAAGUAUAACAUACUUUAUGCCCAUAGAAGUAUCUACUCUGUUGUGAGGGUAAAUUAGACAACAUAGCCAACCUGAAAAGUCUAAUUCUAAUGAAUUUGUAAUGAAAUAUUAUCCUAAGUGAUUAUUUCCUAAACCUGUAAAUGUAAUCAGUUUCUUAAUUAUCUGUGCAUGUUCACACAUAGUUAAAGACAUUAAGUUGAUGUGUUUCUAAA